rnacentral:lncRNA from 1 species
UGCCAUUGACUAGACAAAGCUAAUGGAACCCAGAGGUGAAUUCAAGGUAGAUCUAGAAUAAACUUCCCAAAGCUGAAAGUCUAAAUUUUUUUUGAAGAAAAAAAAAAAAAAACAGUCUUUAAAACAAACAAUUACACAAACAGAUGUAAGAUCACAGAUCUGAUAAAUGGCCAUCAAGAAUAGUACCUGCUGCUAUGGAUUAACACAAGAGAUGGAACAAAUCCACCUUCAAGCCUUACAGAUGCCGUCCCCCUCUAGAAAGACUAUGAAGCCCACAAGGACCACAAGGAUUUUGGAAGCAUCAAGCGACCCUGACUCUACCCACAUGCUGGCAAUCUUUAUUUAUGGAGCUUCUCAACAGGAAGGAAGUUGAGCUUUUAAGGACAAAUGGAUCUUGCAAGGUUUUAAAGCUCCAUCAAAGAAAUGCAGUCUAAAAUGUUCCAUUCUACCAGGAAGAACGUCACCCAUGACACAAAGUUGGAACAAGGCUGCCCUUGGAUUGCGUGCCGGUGAAGACCUUCGUUGUUCCUUCUGGGUCAUCACACACUUAGCUUAGAGCACACUCAGAGUCGUGGGUUCAAGGACCACGGAGAGCAAGUUUUCUUCACCAAGGCUAGUGCUCUCCAGACCUUCUGUAGCUGCUGAGCUGGAAGCCACCUUCUUUCUAGAUUCUUCAGAGUCACUGUACUCGAGAAGAAGCCAAAGUAAUGACAAGUGAAGGAAGAAGAAAGAAGGCCUGUGAAGCACUGGUGAGCAUCAUAGGCCUUUAAGGGCUGGCUCGGAGCUCCUGCCCGGGAUCUCAGAGCACAGGCAGCUCUGUGCAGGAGCUUGACUGGCCACUUUAUAUGUUACUUUGUUGAAUUCAAAAGGAAUAGAAAAGUUCAAUGAAGUCCUUGUUGAUGCAUUUGUCCAAAGAAACAUUCGGCCAGGUGGAUUUUAAUUUCAUGUUGACUGUAGUAUUGUUUUAGCCGUGCUCCCUGUGGCUGUGGCUGCUCUAGUAGUAUCCCUUUCCUGGAAGGCUGCCUUCAAACACUCCAUUAUUAUAACAUUUCGUUUGCUUGUUUUUGAUUGGUUUGGUUUGAUUUUUUUUUUUGAGACAGGGGUUUUCUGUGAGCUCUGGAACUCACUGUGUAGAUCAGGCCAUAAACUCAGAGAUCUGCUUGCCUCUGCCUCCCAAGUGCUGGGAUUAAAGGUAUGUGCCACCACGCUUUAUCAUAAUUGUAUCAUCUUAACUCUAAUUCAGCCUACUGGGUUGAUUCAAAGGCAUAUUUUCUUUUCCUUUUAAGUAUGCUAAAAUUAAAGUACUGCCUUUUUAUGCCUUUUAUAUUGUUGAUAACCAGGACCAAAUACAAGAACA